UGUGGGAGCUGGCUUGCCAGCGAUGGCUUACUGGCAUUCAACAUUGAUGUCGACUGAUGUACCGCUAUCGCUGGCAAGCCAGCUCCCACA
rnacentral:antisense_RNA from 1 species